rnacentral:rRNA from 1 species
GACGAACGCUGGCGGCGUGCCUAAUACAUGCAAGUAGAACGCAGUUGCGAACGGGUGAGUAACGCGUAGGUAACUGCCUCAUAGCGGGGGAUAACUAUUGGAAACGAUAGCUAAUACCGCAUACUGUGAGAUGGACCUGCGUUGUAUUAGCUAGUUGGUGGGGUAAAGGCUCACCAAGGCGACGGUACAUAGCCGACCUGGGAGGGUGAUCGGGCAAAAUGGGACUGGGAAACGGGCCAAAAUCCUACGGGGGGCAGCAGUAGGGAAUCUUUGGCAAAGGAGUGAAAGCCGACCGAACAACGCCGGGGGAGUGAAGGAAGGUUUCGGAACGGAAAGCUCUGUUGUGAGAGAAGCGGUAACAAAACAGUAAGGGACGGCUAACUACGUGCCAGCAGCCGCGGUAAUAC